rnacentral:rRNA from 1 species
UACGGAGGGUGCGAGCGUUGUCCGGAAUCACUGGGCGUAAAGCGCACGUAGGCGGCUUGUUAAGUCAGGGGUGAAAUCCUGGAGCUCAACUCCAGAACUGCCUUUGAUACUGGCGAGCUUGAGUUCGGGAGAGGUGAGUGGAACUGCGAGUGUAGAGGUGAAAUUCGUAGAUAUUCGCAAGAACACCAGUGGCGAAGGCGGCUCACUGGCCCGAUACUGACGCUGAGGUGCGAAAGCGUGGGGAGCAAACAGG